rnacentral:lncRNA from 1 species
AGGCCCGGCUGGUGCUUCUCUGGGCGCCGCUGAAAGCCCAGCUCCGCAGGAGCUACAGGCGUGAGACCCACCGGGACCCGCGAGCGGGAUCAGGGCUGGGGGAUUAGCAGAGCCGCUUGCGAGGCUGACCCUCUCCAGGAUGCCCCAUGUAAACCUGGAUGUCAGUUUCUGACGCUUUAGCUUAAACCCAAAAGCCAAUCUGAGCGAACUCUUGCUUCCCUCGCCUGCCGGGCUGAACCCAAAGGCGCAUUAGCCCAGUGCGGCUGCUUCAUUCUUGAGCUAAGACCGCCGGCGGCGUCUGCGCCUCCGCGAGUCCGCUGUCAGGUCCAGCUGGUGUAGAGAGAGUUGAAAUCUCACUUUGGGCCGGGCGCGGUGGCUCACGUCUGUAAUCCUAGAACUUUUGGGAGGUCGAGGCAGGCGGAUCACUUGAAGUCAGGAGUUCGAGACCAGGCUGGCUAACAUAAUGAAACCCCUGUCUCUACUAAAAAUACAAAAAUUGAUCGGGCAUGGUGGCGCGCGCCUGUAAUCCCAGCUACUCAGGAGGCUGAGGCGGGAGAAUCACUUGAACCUGAGAGGCAGAGAUUGCAGUGAGCUGAGAUCAUGCCACUGCACUCCAGCCUGGGCAACAGAGUGAGACUCCGUCUCAAAAAAAAAAAAAAAAAACCACGAAAAAAGAAAUAUGAUUGGACCAGAAGGCCAAUAACCUGAGUGGGGAAACCCAGCAAGUCCUGUCCGUGUAGAUUCUUCUUGACCUUUCUCUGCAGCAUUCCUUCCUUCUGAGUACGGGGCAGGACUCUCUCUGGGAUGGAGGGGUCUUAGGACCUGCAAGCAAACAAGGUAGGUCAGAUAAUUUAUGGCCAGUUUUUACCCAGAAAUGUGUGGGAGAAAGAGUAAUAUUUUUGGGUUCGAUGUCUGGCUUUGGGGGAGAAGGGCUCUGGUUUCUAUGACCUGCCUUGAGGAAGAAGGAUUCCAGUUUCUAUGGCUGGCCUCGGAGGAGAGUGAGGGGCCAAAGACAGGAGGGAGGGAGAGGGUCAGAGAGAGCUGCUCCUGAGGCCUGCAUUUUGGGGUGUUGUUUUCUGAGACCCUAGAGUAGUCAAACAGCCACAGUAGAAACAGUUCCAUUUUUGCCUGUUUGCAUAUAAAAGAUGGGUUUGUUUGUUUGUUUUAAUUAAAAAUAGAGAUGGGGGGAUCUCACUAUGUUGCCCAGGCUGGUCUCCAGCUCCUAAGCUUAAAUGAUCCUCCCGCCUCGGCCUCGCAAAGCACUGGGAUUACAGGUGUGAGCCACUGCACCUGGCCACAAAAGACAGUUGUAAUUGAUUCUGCCACAAACAAAGUUUCUCUCUUCAUCUGUUUUCUUAAACUAAGACACCAGCUGAGGGCUGGGUUUUAUUUGGAAAAACCUGACCUCUUUCCCUUCUCUGCUUUCCCAGUCACGCUAAUUCACUCCAAAUAGGAGCAACCUUUCUCUUCUGUGUUCUCAGCCCUCCCCUCCACUACCUCACAGUCAACAUUGCCAGGUGGAGCUGGACCAGGAAGGUGACCUUCAACUAGUGACUUCAAAGCUCCCCUCACCAAGUCCUAGCCGGCAGAACUACUACUCUGGCCAUGGGAUCCAGAAGGCUGAGCCCAAGGGAGGGCUGCUUUUGGGCCCCCCAGAGUCUGAGGCCUCUGUCAAAGGCCUGGUCUUGGGCCAGCUUGUGCCAGAAAGACCCCUUAUCCCUUUGACUCUGUUCAGAAUUCUGUUGCUCCAAACACAAGUAGAGACCAUGGAAGCCUCUGGCAUUUGACUUUCCUGCCAACCUGGUAUUAUCAGGUGCCUGGAUCUCAAUGUCCACACCUGUAAACUGGAAGACUGGACCCCUGAAGAUCCUUCUGGUCCAAACAAUCAGACUUACGUAUGUCAGCCACCCAUACUGCCACCUCUGAAAUGGCGGUAAUGAAAUUGCUGUCCCCCUCCCCCCACCAAGGACUUGCCCCUUUCUCUGCAUGUUGGACUCAUAUCUCAGAGGCCUGGCCAGAGGCAGCACUGUAGGUGUGUUCCAGAGUCUGGUCUUUGCCUGCUGAGGGAUCAGAGGGGGAGCACUUGUGUGCCUUGUAAGCACAGCAGCAGCUGGAGGCAAUUGAGGCAAAAUCUUUAAACGGAUUCUAACUACCUGCCUCCCAGGGCCCCAGCUCCACGCCAGCCUUUCCCGUAAAUCCUGUUUGGUGAGGCAGCUGAUGCCAGCUCCAUUUGGCUCGUAGAGGUUACCACACUUGCUCAAUGUCACACUGCUGGGAAGCAGUAAAACUCCAGUUCAAAUCAACAUACCUGGCCCAUAUUCCAUUACUGUUUUUUUGUUUUUUCCGAGACAGGGUCUCACUCUGUUGCCCAGGCUGGAGUGCAAUGGUAUGAUCAUGGCUCCCUGAAGCCUCGACCUCCCGGGCUCAAGUGAUCCUCCCACCUUAGCCUCCUCAGUAGCUUGGACAACAAGAACAUGCAACCAUGCCCGGCUAAUUUUUUUUCUGUUACUUUUUGAAGGAGAAAGAGGGAGAAACCACAGCCCCUAUUUAUUGUGCUGGUCUGGAAUUCCUGGUGAUGGUAACUAUUGGCCCUGAAAGCUGCUGCAGAGAAAGAUGGUGUUUAAAGGAAAGGGGCUCAGAUCCUCCCAUCUGGGGUCAGUGGAAUUGAAAAUUUCCACCCCUCCACAUUUUCAAUCAAACCCCAAUUUGUCAUUGAAUUUAGGUCACGUGCAAGUUCCCUGUGGAGGCACAAAAAUUUGUAUCACUCCGUCCCCACCCUCUGGGAGCCAGACACACAUGUAUACAAUCACCAUAAACCCAGGCACAAGAGAAAAA